UUACUUCUCCACAUUUCAUUCAACUUAUAAACUUUGCCCCACCCAGUAUCAGCUAUUCGAAACUUUAAGAGGUAAAUCCACUAAGCAACUCAUUUUGCUAAAACGUUGAAAGACCCGUUUUUACUGUUGGUUAAUAUAAGGUUUAACGCAAAAAGGCUGGCAAGCGCACUUUCAAACGGUAAAUGGGUUUAGAGUUCACAUCUCUCAACUACCUCAAAGAGUUUCUCCGCACUUCUUUCAAAAUGCUUUUCGGCCCCGAACCUGUAAUCCGUUUAACAUUGGCUGUCGAGAGCAUGACAAGCAUGAUGACGAAAGGUACCCCUCAGCUGUUAAACUUUAAAUGAUGUAGUAAAAAUAACUAUGAUUGGGCGUUUUUGAUGUUAAAACUCGAGACUGAAGUUUAAAAGCUCUAGAAAACCAUAAAUUAAAGGCUCUAAAUUUGCGAUUCAAAAGGAGUGGAGAACAGAAAACUGGGUUAGCAAGGCCGACGGUGAAUAAAGUUUUAAAAAGUUAAUACUAAAAGUGGAGAUGUAAAUAAAUGUGGAGAAAAUCAGUAAACGAGUAAGGAAAAGCAAGAAAUGAGUAACAAACUAAAAUGGUAGUUCAAUCGCUUAGAAGUUACCUUGCCAAACUUCCAAUUUAGGGUGCAUUAUUUUGCUGCUGUUAAGCCUGUUUGCUACUUUCUGUUACACAUUUUACCUAUGGUCUUCACGUUAAAAUUUUUGUCGUUUUCAUUUAUAUGUUUAACCCAUAUGAUAUUGGCUUAGACAAAUGAUUUGUUCUUUAGUAAGUUUAAUUACCACUUUUUAUUUUGAUAUCGUUAAUAUUCGUAAUCCGAAAGUGAACAAGUAAACCGUAAUGCUUAUUUAUCACUUUCU